CUACCCAUUGAUCUCUUUUCAAUUCUUGUUUGGACCCGGUCUUUCCAAAGAAAAUGAUUAUUAUUUUGAACAAGUAUAAUUGGAGUAAAUACCAAACGAGCAGGUUCCACCGGUAAUUCCCCAUUGCAAACGAUCGCACCACACAUCCAAUGUUUAAAGGCAGUUACAGAUCAUUUCACAUUCAGCGCUUACGUUGUUCACAACCCAAAACGUAGUUAGGUGUCGUGUUGCUUAAAAAACAAAAAUGAGAUUCAUCAUCGGUGUAGUUUUCUGUUUGGCUUUGGCAUUAGCCAUUGUUGGUGCCCAACGAGCUAAUCAGGAGUAUAAAGAAUGUGGCUCAGCAUGUCCACCAACAUGUGAGUCAAUCAAACGGGAGCCCAUGAUGUGUAUCGCUCAGUGCAAAAGUGGAUGGUUCUGUAAGAGUGGGUACGUGCGGAAUGCUGCUGGAAAGUGUGUAAAGCCAUCUCAGUGUCCAAAGUGAUUGUUACGAUCAUGAUCAUUCGGUAAUGAUUCGUUUCAGGUAAUCGGCAUAAUAGUUCUCGAGAGGUUGAAUUAAAAUUGAUCUUUAGUUUGAUUCUCAAUAUUUCAAAUCUAUGCUAUAACUCCUCAAUGUUCUCCUCCUAAAGCGCAAUGCUUUUGUAUUGUUGAAGUCAUACUCUCAGUGCAGUUCAAAAGAUAUUGCAUUAAUAUGCCUCACUAAUCAAUAAAUAACACAGAAAAAAAUAUUUAAUUUUCAAUGUGAUGUAAACUGUAGUCUACUGUAAAAAUAAAUCAAAUUCGUGUGUUGUUACAGCUUCAUGUAAAUUCAAAUGAAUAUACAUUCAAUUCUCAACUAAAAAUGGUUGAAUAUUACAUGAUCGUGUAAAUUUAAAGUGAAUUCGAUUGAAAAAUAAUGGUUUAGUCGUUGAAAUUUAGGUUUAUUUCGAUGCUCCAAAUAUGUGCAUGAAAAUAAACUUAAAUUUACAACAUAUAUUUAGCUGUGAAAUGCAUAGCUUAAUUACAUUGAAUGUAAAGCAAUUCAUGUUGUCUUUUUUAA